CCCAAGAUACUCAUUUGCUCUUAUGUGAACUCUCGGUCUCUCAGUUUCUAGUUGCCUAAAGGCACUUCUCUAAUUUUUCCCAAUUCUCAUUGCAGACCCAGUUUUGGUGACUUGGUCACUGCAGACCUUUCAGAAUGUGUGGUGCUCAUUCUUGUUAAACCAGUUGAGAAUUUCCCCAAUCCUUUGGCCCUGCGCACAAGUGUAGCUGCUCUUCCAAUCAAUGGGACCUUUGUAUGCAGCAGGGCGGAAGGAUAUUAUUAUGUGACAAAUGACCACAGGGAAACUCCCAUUAUUUUCCUUGUGUCUGAGAAAUUAUAAAUGUGUAAUAAGGAACACUUUGUAGUAACCCUUGUUAAUUUAUGAUUUUAAAUAUGAAUGUGAAUUUAUUGGAAUGACACAAUAAAGAGUCACCAUGGGCACCGAUUAUAAUUAUCACCAAGUACAAUGAAGCAGAGAAAGAAACUAUCUCGCUCCUAAAUGGCAUCAUCCAUAUAAGCCUUGCCUUGUUCAAAGCUACUCUGUAGUAUUUUCUUUUAAAUAAAAUAAAUAAGGCACAAAUAAACAACA
ensembl:lncRNA NR2F2-AS1 NR2F2 antisense RNA 1